AUCUCUGCGUGACUUCCGCCAGCGUUUAGAGCGUUUUCGGGGUCCGAGUUGAAGAGCAAAACCAAGUGAAGGAAACUUCACUAAGUUCAGGGUGACAAGGGAGGAAGUACAGAGACUGCACUUUAAAUUCUGGAUGACAGACCUAUCAGGACUGAGUGGACCUUUGAGUGACAAGAUGGGGGUGUUCCAAAGAGACCAUGGCAGCCUGCAGCUAGGACUUUAAUGCAAGUGGUGAUGCUGUGAUAUCUAGUGCUUUAAACAAAUCUCUUUUUUUAAGUGACAGGGUUUCCAAAUUGUUAUUUCUACUUUAACAGAUCAAUAGGGACAAAAAGUUGAUUCACUUGGUCUAAUGUGGUAGGAAUAGGUGAAAUACUAAGACUGGAUCCUACACUCUACUUCCCAUCAGGCACCCAUUCUUAUGAAUAGAGAUUCCAUAGGGGCCACACACAAUCCCAGUACUUUUUUCCCAGUUAAUUGAGAAAAUUAAAGCCAUCAUACAAUAUAUAACUUCCUCCCUCUCCACUUCUGUCAAUGCCACAUAUAUCCACCUGUCUUAUUUGUCUGUCUCAGAAAAUGAAAUGUACUUCCUCCACCAAUGUAUGACCACUGUUUCUUGUUCUAGACCUCUCUUUUGCAUUUGGUAUCAUUGAUUAAACCCUCCUUGAAACUCGUUUUGCAUUUCUCCCAUCUUUUUCUACCUGUCUCAUGCUUCUUGGGGGUCUUUUUUUCUCUGCCUACCCAUUAAAUAGUAUUUCCCAAAGUUCCAACCUUGAGUUGUUUUCUGUCUGUAUCUUCCCUGUGAGCACUGUCCACUCAUUGUUUUAACCUAUUUGCUCAUGGAUUCUAAAACUACUGCUAUUCCUGACCUGUUCCUUGAAGUUCCGACUUUCGGGAGGCUCACGAGCCCUUCAAACUCUAAUUUGUCCUUUGCUUUCAUUUGUACUCCCAAUUCUAUCUCAUCUCACUGCUUUCAGCCAUAACUACUACCACCCCCACCUACACCGCCAAAUCCAUCUUGUAAGUAGCAGCCAGAAUGACCAGUCUCAAAUGUAAAUCUAUUUCACUUGCCUCCUUAAAUUUCUAAUCUUCCUCUGCAGUCACCUUCAAGAUAGUCCAACUCCAUGGCCUGGUGUGCUAGGGUCUUCAUUAUCUUGCCACUGUUUUCCUUCCCAGUCUUGUUUCCCUUUCCAGUACCAUCUCCCAUCCUACCCACUUCGCAUUCAUGAGGCUGCUUUACACCUGAGACCUUUUGCAUUCUUGUUGACUUUGUCUGGACUAUCUUUAUUUUCUUUGGCUGACUCUUCCUUAUCCUUACUAAUUUUUUAGGGCUCUUGCAAGAAGCCUUUCCUUGUUCCAUAGUCUGAGUUAGUUGACUUUUCUCUCUGCUUUCUUGACAUUUGUGGGUUCAUUCAGAAAAUAUUCAUUGAACCCUUAUUUUGUGCCAGACACUGAGCUAGAUACUAGAAAUAUAAUAAUGAACAAGCAAAUAUGGCAAUAACCAAUCUAAUAAUUUCCUGACAGAGUUUACAUUCUCAUAGGGAAAAAAGAAAAAAAAAAAGGCAGUUCAGUCUUAUUGGCUCCAUGCUUGAUAAUAGCUAGGAAUUGAAAGGGUAAAAAACAAGUAUUCUAGAUAGAGGCUAACAAUGUUUAUGAAGAAGAACACAGUCUAGGAACUGAGAGAUUCUAGACAGGGGUGGAGAGGUAAACAGGGACCAGAUCAUGAAGAACAUUAGUGAUGAUGUCACAAAGUUUGGACUCCUUCUUAAGGCUAAUAGUAACUUUGAAUGGUUUCAACAUGAUUAGGUUAGUAUUUAGAUGAUGAAUCGCUACUCUGAGAAAAAGAACUCAAAGGGCAGCAAUACCAGCAAGAAGGAAACCAGUUAGGAGAUAAUUGUAGUAAUCCAGGGAAAGAAAGAUGGCAGUUUAUACGGCUGGUUCUUAAUGACCUUUGAUGCUCCAACACCUAACACCAUGCCUGGUACAAACUGCACACUCAAUUAGUAUUUGUUGUUGAACUGAACUCCUUUUGAGACAUGAUGCGUCUAACAAAGUAAUAGUAGUAGCCUCUGAGGAGGGAAACUAGCAGGUCAGAGUGAAAAAGAAAUUUUCUUUUUGUUGAAUAUAUUUUAGUUCUUUUUGCCUUUUCCUCCAAUGUAUUUCUAUUUCCUGAGAAAUAAAAAGAUGACAUAAAAAGUGUUCUAUUAGAUUUUUGUGGACUUAAUACCGAAAGCAAUAUUCCAACUAUGUUCUAGUCACUAUAGAGUGGAAUAUUAAAAUGCUAUCUGAUAUUAUAUCAUAUUAGCUUUUUUUUUUUUUGAGAUAGGGUCUCACUGUGUUGCCCAGGCUGGUGUCAUCAUAGCUUACUGCAGCCUCAAACUCCUGUGCUCAAGCACCACAUUACGUUAUUGAUUGGUUUACAAAUUCUAUGGUUGUAUUAUUGAUGCCAUCAUUCAAUUCACUUAUAUGAAUUAUGAACAGUAAUAGCAAGAUGAAGUGAAAUUAUGAACACACAUUUUAUAUUAAGGGCAUGAGACAAAAUCUUUGAAACUAUGUACUGUAUUAUGCGAUAUAUACAAAAUCUGCAAAAGCAAACAAGUGUCAUUGUUUUAUACCUGCCUAAUGUUUCAUAUGAGAGGAAAUAAUGAUACGUCUCUCCUAUCAGCCAACAUUUCUAGCUUGCUGACAUAGGUAGCAUUUAAUAUGCAAAACCCUUUAAUCACAAAUAUCAGAAAGCACAUCUUAACUGUAGUUAUAAAUGGGUAAGUAAAAAUGCGUAAUGCUUUUAUAUAUUUUUGAGUUAGUAUUGUAGUGUAUAAUUUUAUAUAAAUGGUUGAGGCCAUAGAUAUUUUGAAAGUACGCUAGUAUUUAAAGAAAAUGGUAAAUUCUAGUAACACUUUUGAAUAUACAGCAUAUUCACUGGGUGGCGCUGUUGCAUUAGUGUUAACCUUACAUAGUUUGAAAGUUUUAUUUCAUUUUCAUUCAUAAAAGUAAAUUAGAGUGAUAAACAUUGAACACAAUGUUCUGGAUGAAAAAAAUUAGAUUCUAAAUUUAUUGGCAUUAGAAUACAUGUUUAGAGCCCAGGGUUAAGAAGAAAAAUAGCGUUGAAUUCAAAAUAGCUAUCUGCUUUUUAUUACCCUUUCAUCAUUACAAGCCUGUUAAUCCACUUGACUUCUCAGCUGUGUUCAUCUUUAUUAGUGGAUUUCAGAACUGAGCUGUACAUUUGCAAUACAGUAUCUUUGUUAAGGACUCGCAUGGAAUUCUUAGUUUGGAACUAUAAAGUACCUAUUCUUUGCUAAUUUGUGAUGAGCUCUAAACAAGAUCCAAGGAAGCAAAAAGUUGCUAUAUUAAACUCUAACCUCUCUAGUAUCAUUUCCCCAACUUUCACAGCAAACUCUAUUAUUUUAAUAUAGUUAGUAUAGAGAACCUUAGGAAUUAUCAGCUGAAACAAAUUAGAUAUUCUUAAAAUUUUUUGGUCAAUGUGACUUUUUAAAAUUCAGUUUUCUUUUGUAGAGAUGGGGUCUCACUAUGUUGGCCAGGCUGAUCUCGAACUCCUGGCCUCAGGCAGUCCUACUGUCUUGGCCUCCCAAAGUGCUGGAAUUACAGGAAUGAGCCAACAUACCCGGCCUAACUUCAAUUUUUAUAUUCUGUAUAUUUUCAAUAUUAGUAUUACAAUAUCCAGUGCUAUUUUUCAGUUAUUUCAAAUGAGUUAAUGAGAUUCUCAGGAAAAAUACUGAUCUUAAUGUAGUCUAAUUUUAUUUGAAUAGUUUUUGGGGCACAGGUCCUUUUUGGUUACAUGAUUGAAUACUUUAUUAGUGAUUUCUGAGAUAUUAGUACAUCUGUCACCCGAGCAGUGAUUGUACUCUAAUUUUUAAUUAGUUAGUUAUAACACAUUUUAGAAGGGUGUCUUAGUUCGUUCAGGCUGCUGUAACAAGCUGCCACAAACUGGGUACCUUAAAAGCAACAGAAAUGUAUUUCUCACAGUUCUGGAGGCUGGAAAGAUCAAGGCCCUGGCAGCUUUGAUGUCUGGUGAGGGCUUGCUUUCUGGUUCAUACAUGGCAUCUUCUAGCUGUGCCCUCGCAUAAUGGAAGGCAUGAAUGAGCUUUGUUGGACCUCUUUUUUAAGGGCACUAGUCCCAUUCAUGAAGGCUCCCCUGUCAUGAAUUAAUCAUUUCUCAGAGGCCCCACCUCCUAAUAUCACCUUGGGAGUUGGAAUUUCAAAAUAUGAAUUUUGGGGAGACACAAAUAUUCAUGCCAUAGCAGAAGGGGAAUUUUUAAAAAAUGAAACUCAUAAUAACUAUCAUAAAUCAGAAAAAUUUGGGGAUAAGUAGGUUUUUUUUGUUGUUGUUGUUGUUGUUUUGUUUUGUUGGUGUUUUGUCACAGUUCUGGUGCCAUGUUAUCAUUCUCAUGAAUUCUUUAUGAUAGUGAUUUAUAUUGUCUAGAGUACAUUUUCUAAUAUGGACCCUUAGGAGAAAAUCACUUCUAAGUUCUCUAUAUCUUUUUCAAAUCCUGUUUUCUCAAAAAGGGGUCUAAGUCUAUGCAUUUCUAUAUAAGUACCAAGUAAUAUUAUCUCAUUUCAUCUUUAGUCUUUGGAAAAAUCAGCUGCCAGUUUUUCUUUACUCUUUAUUAAGCAAAUUCAACCUGGUAAACACAGUUUGACCAUAUAUAUUCAAAAUUAUUACCUGAAUAUUGUUCCUAGGACAAUCCAUUAAGAUAAUUUCCAUUUAUACACCUUUAUACAAUAUUUUAUAAUAAUGAUAGUGCAUAUUUGCAGAAGAUGUACCAGAUGCCAGGUGUUCUCCAUGUAUUACCUCAUUUAAUUAUCACAACAACUGCAUGAAGUAGUUUCUCUUCCUAUUCCAUUUAUAAACACACACACACACACACACACACACACACACACAUAUAUAUCUUAUUUACUUUAAAGAAAACUGGAACAACUAGCUCAAGGUCACAUAUCUAGGAAACCAGGAAGACAAAAGUUGAACCCAAGUAAUUAAUGUUAGAAGCUCUGUCCCUAGCUCCUCUACUGUGCUUCCUAAUCUCAAACGCUUACACUGGUGGAGGCAGUGUUAAUUUUUGUAACCUGUGCAGCAGACCCUUUUUAUGUUCUACAGAUUUUAUCCCUGAAUCCUUCUAGAAAGGAUUGUAUCCUUAGAUACCUACUAUUCUACCACUUCCCUACAGUACAACACAAAAGAUAUAGACCUAUGAAGGGUUCCUCAGUUCUGUGGGGAAGGGUUUAGUUGGUUGGAUACUUUGAAUUUCUUUGCUAUGCUUUGUUGUUCAAGGGAUUAUGUGUCUCUCUCCCUCCAUAAGCCUUUGGGUGGGUUGGCAGUCUUACACAGACCUUCUAGGCCUUCAGAGAUGCCCUACAUAUGUAUUGUCUCAUUCCUGACUCUAUUUUAUUCCUCUGGAAGCCUCUAGGGUCUCUCCCAUCCCUUUCUUUCCUAGAAUCUCCUAUCACUCCAAAGAGAGAAUAAAGUUCUCUCUCAGUUUUCUUCCUUUGUGUUAAAUAUUUCACAGCUUAGUGAUUUGUUGAUUGCAGUUGCCUCUAGUUCUGUUCAUUGGCUAGGGCUUUUCUGAAGAUUUUCUCCUAGAGUUAGUAUUAACUAAAACAAAACACAUUUAACCACAUAUUCUACCCUGAGGAUUAAUUUUUUUUAAAGAAAAUAACUAUUUUUCUGCAUGAGGAAUUUAUAAUAACAUAAUUUUGACAUUAUUUCUUUAGAAUAAACCAGACUAUGUUGUGUUAAGAGACAUUUCUACCCCAAUUGAUAUUGAACUAUUUAUCUGAAGUCACUGUUUAUCCCCUUACCACAGCUCAGGUGUAACGUUAUAUGGGGAAUUAGUACAUUUUAUUUCACCCUGUUAUAUUUUUAUUUUAGGUUGAAAGACAGAAAGUAGAAUGGUAAACCAUGCAGGUGAUUAGCUAAGUAGAAAGUAGAAGUUUAAACUAAGAUUCUAAUCUCAAGAUAAAUCAGACUUGGCAGGUAUUGCAGAGGUUUUGUGUGGAUUACAAAUACAAUAGCCAUCAUGCCAUCAACCAGAAUUCAUUGAAUACAUGCACUUGUCAGACCCUGUGUUUUCACAACCAAAAGUUAGGACAGAUUACUUACCAGUACAAAAUAAUGUUUUCACUUUGGAUUCUUCCCUGUGUGCGAAAAUAUAAUGCUCUUAUAUCUGCUGGAGUCCAGAUUCCUGUCUACUAAUCCAUUUUUCACAUCAUCACAAUCUACCUUUUUUAUCUAACCUAAUCAUCCAGUACUGUUUAAAAUGUAUUCUCUGCUUUAAUCAGGCUAGUUUCCUUAAACAAUCCUGGUUCAUAUCACUGUCGUUUUCAGUAGCUUACUUCUACCCUGUGCGCCUUGCUCCUUUUCCAUUUAGGAUUCCCUUUGCCCUCUUUUCAACCUAGCCAAAUUUAGUUCAGCUACCACUUCUUUCACCAGUCCUUUAGUUUCCACUUCACUUCAUACAGAUCUUUCUUUUAUUUAGUCUCCCAUUACAUAUAACUACUAUCUGUCCCACAUAAUUAUUGUAUUAGUCCGUUCUCACACUGCUAUAAAGAACUGCCCAAGACUGAGUAAUUUAUAAAGAAAAGCAGUUUAGUUGACUCGCAGUUCAGCAUGGCUGGGGAGGCCUCUGGAAACUUACAAUCAUGGUGGAAGAGGAAGCAGGCAUGUCUUACAUGGCAGCAGGUGAGAGAGCAAGUGAAGGAAGCCAAGGGGGAAGAGCCCCUUAUAAAACCAUCAGAUCUCAUGAGAACUCACUCACUAUCAUGAGAACAGCAUGGAGGAAACCACCCCCGUGAUCCAGCCACCUCCCACCAGGUCCCUCCCUCAACACCCGGGGAUUACAGUUCAAGAUGAGAUUUGAGUGGAGACACAAAGCCAAACCAUAUCAAUUAUAUAUAAGCAUAUCUUGUUUUAUUGCACUUCACAUAUCUUGUUUUAUUGCACUUCACUUCAUUAUGAUUUGCAGAUACUGCAUUUUUGACAAAUUAAAGGUAUGUGGCAACCCCACAUUGAGCAAGUCUGUCAGUGCCAUUGUUAACAGUGGCAUGUGCUCAAUUUGUGUCUUUGUCACAUUUUGGUAAUUCUCUCAAUAUUUUAAACUUUUUAAUUAUAUAUCUAUUAUGGUGAUCUGCAAUCGGUAAUCUUUGAUGUUACUAUUAUAAUUGUUUUGGGGCACCAAGAACCACCCAUAUAAGAGAACAAACUUAAUAAGUAAAUAUUGAGUGUGUUCUAACUGCUUCAUUGACCAGCCAUUUUCCCAUCUCUCUCCCUCUCCUUGGGCCUCCCUAUUUCCUGAGACACAGCAAUAUUUGAAUUAGGCCAAUUAAUAACCAUAUAAUGUCCUCCAAGCCUUCAAGUGAAAGAAAGAGUCAAAUGUCUCACUUAAAAUAAAAACUAGAAAUGAUUAAACUUAGUGAGAAAAGCAUAUCAAAAGCUAAGAUAGGCCAAAAGCUAGGCCUCUUGUGCCAGACAGCCAAUUUGUGAAUGCAAAGGAAAAGUUCUUGGAGGAAAUUAAAAGUGCUUGUCCAGUGAACACACAAAUGAUAAGAAAGCAGAACAGCCAUAUUGCUGAUAUGGAGAAAGUUUGAGUGGUCUGGAUAGAUCAAAUCAGCCACAACAUUUUCUUAAACCAAAGCCUAAUCCAGAGCAAGGCACUUGCUCUCUUUAAUUAUAUGAAGGCUGACAGACAGGAGGAAGAAGAAAAGUUUGAAGCUAGCAGAGGUUGGUUUGUGAGGCUUAAGGAAAGAAGCCAUCUUUAUAACAUACAAGUGUGUUAUGGUUAGGCUUUGUGUCUCCACACAAAUCUGGUCUUGAAUUAUAAUCCUCAUAAUCCCCAUGUAUCAAGGGAGAGAUCAGGUGAAGGUAAUUGGAUUAUGGGGUGAUUUCCCCCCUUCUGUUCUUGUGAUAUUGAGUUGUCAUGAGAUCUGACGGUUUUAUAAGGGGCUCUUCCCCCUUUGCUCGGCAUUUCUCUUUCCUGCUGCCUUGUGAAGAAGGUGCCUUGCUUCCCCUUUGCAUUCCGCCAUGAUUGUAAGUUUCCUGAGGCCUCCUCAGCCAAGCUGAACUGUAAGUCAAUUAAACCUCUUUCUUUAUAAAUUACCCAGUCUCAGGCAGUUCUUUAUAGGAGUAUGAAAAUGGACUAAUACAAAGUGUAGAGUGAAGCAGCAAGUGCUAAGGCAGAAGCUGCAACAGAUUAUGCAGAAAAUCUUGCUAAGAUGAUGAAAGUGACUACGCUAAACAACAGAUUUUCAAUGUAGACAAAACACCUUCUUUUGAAAGAAGAUGUCAUCUAAGGCCUUUUUUUUUUUUUUUUUUUUGAGACGGAGUCUUGCUCUGUCGCCCAGGCUGGAGUGCAGUCGCGCAAUCUCUGCUCACUGCAAGCUCCACCUCCCGGGUUCAUGCCAUUCUCCUGCCUCAGCCUCCCGAAUAGCUGGGACUACAGGCACCCACCACUGCGCCCGGCUAAUUUUUUGUAUUUUUUAGUAGAGAUGGGGUUUCACCGUGGUCUUGAUCUCCUGACCUCGUGAUCCGCCCGCUUCGGCCUCCCAAAGUGCUGGGAUUACAGGCGUGAGCCACCGCACCUGGCCCAUCUAAGGACUUUCAUAGCUAGAGAAGAGAAGUCAUUGCCUGGCUGCAAAGCUUCAAAGGACAGAAUGACUCUUGUUAGGGGAUAAUGCAACUGGUGACUUUAAGUUGAGGCCAGUGCUCACUGACCAUUCUGAAAAUUCUACAGCCCUUAAGAAUUAUGCUGAAUCUACUCGGCCUCUACUCUGUCAAUGGAACAACAAAUCCUUGAUGACAGCACAUCUAUUUAAAGCAUGGUUUACUGAAUAUUUUAAGCUCCCUAUUGAGACUCUGUCGAGACUGGAAAAAAGAGAUUUAUUUCAUAUUACUGCUCAUUAAUAAUGUUCCUAGUCACCCAAGAGCCCUGAUUGAGAUUUACAAGGAGAUUAAUAUUGCUUCUUGCCUGCUAAUACAACAUCUGUUCUGCAGCCCAUGGAUCAAGGAAUAAUUUCAAACUUCAAGUCUUAUUAUUUGAGAAAUAUAUUUCAUAAGGCUAGACCUGCUUCAGUGAUUCCUCUUAUAGAUAUGGCAAAGUAAACUGAAAACCUUCUGGAAAGGAUUCACCAUUCUAGAUGCCAUUAAGAUCAUUUGUGAUUCAUGGGAGGAGGUCAAAAUGUCAAUUUAUUAUAAUAGGAAUUUGGAAGAAGUUAAUUCCAGGCCUUAUGAAUGACUUCAUGACUUUAGUGGAGGAAGCACCUGAAGAUGUGAUGGAAAUAGCAAGAGAACUAGAAUUAGAAGUGGCACCUGAAGAUGUGACUAAAUUGCUGCAAUAUUAUAAUAAAACUUGAAUGGAUGACGAGUUGUUUCUUUUGGAUAAGAAAAAAAAAAAGGUUUCCUUAGAUGGAAUCUAUUGCUGGUAAAGAUUCUCUAAACAUUGUUGAAAUGACAGCAAAGGAUUUAGAAUAUUACAAAACUUUGUUGAUAAAGCAGUGGCAGGGUUUGAGAGUACUGACUCCAAUUUUGUAAGAAGUUCUAUGGGUACAAUGCUAUCAAACACCAUCACAUUCUACAGAGAAAUCUUUCAUGAAAGGAAAAGUCAACUGAUGUGGCCAACUUCAUUUGUUGUCUUAUUUUAGGAAAUUGCUGCAGCCACCUAAACCUUCAGCAACCACCACCCCCGCUUUUUUUUCUGUCACCCAAGUGGGAGUGCAGUGGCACUACCAUAGUUCACUGUAACCUCUAUCUCCCCAGCUCAAGUGAUCCUCCUGCCUCAGCCUCCCAAAGUGCUGGGAUUACAGGCAUGAACCACUACACCCAGCCUAUCAGUCAUCACCCUGAUCAGUCAGUAGUCAUCAAUACCAAGGCAAGACCCUCUAUAAGCAAAAAGAUGAUGACUCACUAAAGACUCAUAUGAGCAUUAGCAUUUUUUAGCAAUAAAGUAUUUUUAACUUAGGAUUUGUGUAUUUUUAGACAUAAUAUUUUUGUACAUUUAACAGACUAUAGUGUAAACAUAACUCUUUAUAUGCACUGAGAAACCAAAAAAUUUGUGUCAUUCCCUUUAUUGUGAUACUCACUUUAUUGCAGUGGUGUGGAACUGAACCUGCAAUAUCUCUGAGGUAUGCCUGUACAUAAUUAUGUACUAUUUUAUAUUGGUUUUGAGUCAUUUCAUGCAGGUAAAUUUGAUUAUCUCAAUUAAAUUGCAAUACCUUUAAAGUCAAAGACUGAGUCUUAUUUGGACUUUUUAUUCUCAUGACAG
rnacentral:lncRNA from 10 species